UGGGGAAUUUUGGACAAUGGGCGAAAGCCUGAUCCAGCAAUGCCGCGUGUGUGAAGAAGGCCUUCGGGUUGUAAAGCACUUUUGUCCGGAAAGAAAUCCUUGGCUCUAAUACAGUCGGGGGAUGACGGUACCGGAAGAAUAAGCACCGGCUAACUACGUGCCAGCAGCCGCGGUAAUACGUAGGGUGCAAGCGUUAAUCGGAAUUACUGGGCGUAAAGCGCGCGCAGGCGGUUUGCUAAGACCGAUGUGAAAUCCCCGGGCUCAACCUGGGAACUGCAUUGGUGACUGGCAGGCUAGAGUAUGGCAGAGGGGGGUAGAAUUCCACGUGUAGCAGUGAAAUGCGUAGAGAUGUGGAGGAAUACCGAUGGCGAAGGCAGCCCCCUGGGCCAAUACUGACGCUCAUGCACGAAAGCGUGGGGAGCAAACAGGAUUAGAUACCCUGGUAGUCCACGCCCUAAACGAUGUCAACUAGUUGUUGGGGAUUCAUUUCCUUAGUAACGUAGCUAACGCGUGAAGUUGACCGCCUGGGGAGUACGGCCGCAAGGCUAAAACUCAAAUGAAUUGACGGGGUCAUAGCUGUUUCCU
rnacentral:rRNA from 1 species